rnacentral:sRNA from 1 species
AUAAAACAGGCAUGAAGUUCAAAUUCAUGCCAAUCGCGGUAAAGUCUUGGGAGGAUCAGAUCUUAGGCGCGCUAGACGCUGCCCCGGAAACGGUUAGGAUCACGCGAAACUGAAAAACAAGGCUUCAACGCCUUGUUUUUUUUU